AGAGUUUGAUCAUGGCUCAGAGCAAACGCUGGCGGCGUGCCUAAUACAUGCAAGUCGAACGAGGAAGUCCCUUCGGGGAUUGUACUAGUGGCGUACGGGUGAAUAACACGUGGAUAAUCUUCCUUUAGGUGGGGAAUAACCAGUCGAAAGAUUGGCUAAUACCGCAUAAGACCACAAUCUCUUCGGAGAAAGGGGUUAAA
rnacentral:rRNA from 1 species